rnacentral:rRNA from 1 species
GACGAACGCUGGCGGCGUGCUUAACACAUGCAAGUCGAACGGUGAAGCUCCAGCUUGCUGGAGUGGAUCAGUGGCGAACGGGUGAGUAACACGUGAGCAACCUGCCCCUGACUCUGGAAUAAGCGCUGGAAACGGCGUCUAAUACUGGAUACGAGAAGGGUCCGCAUGGGCACUUUCUGGAAAGUUUUUCGGUUGGGGAUGGGCUCGCGGCCUAUCAGCUUGUUGGUGAGGUAAUGGCUCACCAAGGCGACGACGGGUAGCCGGCCUGAGAGGGCGACCGGCCACACUGGGACUGAGAAACGGCCCAGACUCCUACGGGAGGCAGCAGUGGGGAAUAUUGCACAAUGGGCGAAAGCCUGAUGCAGCGACGCCGCGUGAGGGAUGACGGCCUUCGGGUUGUAACCCUCUUUCAGCAGGGAAGAAGCGAAAGUGACGGUACCUGCAGAAGAAGCACCGGCUAACUACGUG